AGAGUUUGAUCCUGGCUCAGAUUGAACGCUGGCGGCAUGCCUUACACAUGCAAGUCGAACGGCAGCACGGACUUCGGUCUGGUGGCGAGUGGCGAACGGGUGAGUAAUAUAUCGGAACAUACCCUAGAGUGGGGGAUAACGUAGCGAAAGUUACGCUAAUACCGCAUACGAACUAAGGUUGAAAGUGGGGGAUCUUCGGACCUCAUGCUCAUGGAGUGGCCGAUAUCUGAUUAGCUAGUUGGUGAGGUAAAGGCUCACCAAGGCGACGAUCAGUAGCUGGUUUGAGAGAACGACCAGCCACACUGGAACUGAGACACGGUCCAGACUCCUACGGGAGGCAGCAGUGGGGAAUUUUGGACAAUGGGCGCAAGCCUGAUCCAGCAAUGCCGCGUGAGUGAAGAAGGCCUUCGGGUUGUAAAGCUCUUUUGUCAGGGAAGAAACGGUGAGUCCUAAUACGGCUUGCUAAUGACGGUACCUGAAGAAUAAGCACCGGCUAACUACGUGCCAGCAGCCGCGGUAAUACGUAGGGUGCAAGCGUUAAUCGGAAUUACUGGGCGUAAAGCGUGCGCAGGCGGUUAUAUAAGUCAGAUGUGAAAUCCCCGGGCUCAACCUGGGAACUGCAUUUGAGACUGUAUGGCUAGAGUGUGUCAGAGGGGGGUAGAAUUCCACGUGUAGCAGUGAAAUGCGUAGAUAUGUGGAGGAAUACCGAUGGCGAAGGCAGCCCCCUGGGAUAACACUGACGCUCAUGCACGAAAGCGUGGGGAGCAAACAGGAUUAGAUACCCUGGUAGUCCACGCCCU
rnacentral:rRNA from 1 species